rnacentral:rRNA from 1 species
UUUAAAUGUAAAAUAAAUAUACUAAAGUAGUAAUAGUUAUGUUCUUGAAAUUUAAAGAUUUUGGCGGUAUUUUAGUCUAUUUAGAGGAGCCUGUUCUGUAAUUGAUGAUCCACGAUUAAUUUUACUUAAUUUCUAUAAAUUUGUAUACCGUCGUUAUAAGAAGAUUUUAAAAGAAUAUAAAUUUUUAAUAUUUUAUAUAAAAAAAUAUAUCAGAUCAAGGUGCAGUUUAUAAUUAAGGAGAAAUGGGCUACAAUAAAUUUAUUUAUACGGAUUAAAAUAAGAAUAGGAUUUUAUGAAGGUGGAUUUAAUAGUAAUAGGGUUUAUUUAAAUUUUAUGAUUUUAGCUCUAAAAUAUG